rnacentral:ncRNA from 2 species
GUCGCCUCCUCCGCCCGGGCCGUUCGCUGCUGCGCGGGGAGAGCGAGGCGGGGCCGCCGGGGCCGCCAUGGAGCCCGACUCGGUGAUUGAGGACAAGACCAUCGAGCUCAUGGCACUCAUCACUAGAAAGCACUCACAAGAGCUUCUGAUUGGAAGAGAAAGAUGAUUAGAUUACCCUGUAAGAAGCCAGCAGAAAUUGAUGCUAUCACUUUAGGAAAGGCGAUCCUGCCUCCUCCACGGGUAUAAGUAAUGGAACAUCAUCUGUGAUCGUCUCCAGAAAGAGGCCAUCAGAAGGAAACUAUCAAA